rnacentral:rRNA from 1 species
AUUGAACGCUGGCGGCAGGCCUAACACAUGCAAGUCGAGCGGAUGAAGAGAGCUUGCUCUCUGAUUUAGCGGCGGAUGGGUGAGUAAUGCCUAGGAAUCUGCCUGGUAGUGGGGGGUAACGUUCCGAAAGGAACGCUAAUACCGCAUACGUCCUACGGGAGAAAGCAGGGGACCUUCGGGCCUUGCGCUAUCAGAUGAGCCUAGGUCGGAUUAGCUAGUUGGUGCGGUAAUGGCUCACCAAGGGGACGAUCCGUAACUGGUCUGAGAGGAUGAUAAGGAACACUGGAAGUGGGACACGGUCCAGACUCCUACGGGGGGCAGCAGUGGGGAAUAUUGGACAAUGGGCGAAAGCCUGAUGCAGCCAUGGCGCGUGUGUGAAGAAGGUCUUCGGAUUGUAAAGCACUUUAAGUUGGGAGGAAGGGCAGUAAGUUAAUACCUUGCUGUUUUGACGUUACCGACAGAAUAAGCACCGUCUAACUUCGUGCCAGCAGCCGCAGUAAAAC